GCUAAAGUGGCCUAAGCGGUUAAUGCGUCCGCUUCAGAUGUGGGAGAUCGCGGGUUUGAAUCCCGACCGAGUA